rnacentral:ncRNA from 2 species
GGAUAACAUGUCCGUGAUGGUUCCUUCCGGGCGUUCCGGAAGGUGAAAAGGGAACACGAUAGGGACAAAUCCUCAUUCGUGGCUGCCCCCGCAACUGUGAGCGGAGAGCCUGAAACGAAAUGCCACUGGCAAGCCAUCUCGCCUCCAUCAAGGGGGAAGGCAAUGCCGGGAAGGUGUUUCAGGUUUUGACCCGUAAGCCAGGAGACCUGCCAUCACGGAAAUAUCCAU